rnacentral:lncRNA from 12 species
GGACCUGGGUUUUCUCGUGGUACCAGGUUCGAGGCUUCGAGGCUUCGAGGCUCUCCAGCAGUCCCCACACCUAGCCCUAACUUCCCACUCCCACAGCAUCCCCUGAGCACAUCUGUCUCUCCUGAGUCAGGCCUGCUGCUUGGGACUUGGGGCCCAGGCUCCCACCUCGGUCACCAAGGGGGUCCCAUGAGCAGCCAUGACCCCAGCCCCUCACACACUCGUCCCUGGUUCUCCCCAUCAGACUCAUCCUGAAACCACUGUCACUGGUCCUGCUCUCCAAGACUUUCUCAAUGGCUCUUCUCCAUGGGGUGGGUUGCUCCCACUUGCCCCAAAGUAGGGCACUUCCUCGCUUACCUGGCAGUCUUCCUUUGAAACCUGGGAUCAUCCCAGGGGCCCUGAGCCCUGUGACCUUCCAUGUGGAUGGUGCCCACAAGUGAUCCCCCCAUGAAUGUGCAGAUGGGUUUACAUUGUAGGCAAUCCCAUCUUUUUAUUCUGAUGAAACUCCUGGCCUUUCUGGAGACCCAGGGGUAUUUCUACCUUAAAUAAAUGCGUAGUCAUCAAAUGUAGCACCAAAAAAAAUUUAAAACGCUGGAUUUUGUCUCUGACAGCUGACAUAAGUUUGAGUUGGGUGUCUUUCCCAUGUCUUGAGCUAUGGAGGGAUUGAUUAACCCAUUUGGUUGGCUGUGGUCCUCCUGCUUGUCCCAGUUGAACACCUCCAUCCGACAAGACACAGGGCUCCAUGAUGUCAAUGGAAUGACCAGAGAAUCUGAGCAAACACCCAAGACGAGAUCAAAAGGUCCUUCAGCUCUCUAUUCUCAAGGCUCCAGGCAGCCUGCCCUCCGUGUGGCCGCCACGCCUCACCGGCCAGCCCCGGGUGACAGGACGUACGCAGCACGAGGAUGCCUGUGCCCAGCUCAAGAUGCAACCCACUGGAUGUUUUGGGGAUCACCAGAAGACAUGGGUUGGAUGACAAGACAUCCCUGGAAAUUCUCUACCUUGUGUUUAAUAAGUCCUGGGAUCACUUCUCUUUUUAACCUUCACGUUUUCCUAGAAAUAAUGGGACUGGUGCAGGUCAUCUAAAUUCCCUGCAAUUUGCACAGGUGGAUUUCAUAUACUCCCCGUGUGGCUGCAGACUCAAGAACCGGGCGUGCAGGAAGCCCAGGUGGCUCAGUGGUUUAGCACCGCCUUCGGCCCAGGGUGUGAUCCUGGAGACCCAGGAUCGAGUCCCACGUCAGGCUCCCUGCAUGGAGCCUGCUUCUCCCUCUGCCUGUGUCUCUGCCUCUCUCUCUCUAUCUCUCUGUCUCCCAUGAAUAAAUAAAUUUAAAAAAUCUUUAAAAAAAAAAAA